GCCAAUGUGACAUAGUGGUUUGAGUGUUGGAUUACCACUCUGGAGACUAGGGUUCAAUUCCCAGUUUGGCC
rnacentral:tRNA from 1 species